UUGAAUGGCACAGUUGAUUGAGUAUUUGCCUGCCGCCCAAAAGGUUGCUGGUUUGACUCCAGCCAGAUAAG
rnacentral:tRNA from 1 species